rnacentral:rRNA from 1 species
AUUGAACGCUGGCGGCAGGCUUAACACAUGUAAGUCGAGCGGGGAAAUGUAGCUUGCUACAUUUCCUAGCGGCGGACGGGUGAGUAAUGCUUAGGAAUCUGCCUAUUAGUGGGGGACAACGUUUCGAAAGGAACGCUAAUACCGCAUACGCCCUACGGGGGAAAGCAGGGGAUCUUCGGACCUUGCGCUAAUAGAUGAGCCUAAGCCAGAUUAGCUAGUUGGUGGGGUAAAGGCCUACCAAGGCGGCGAUCUGUAGCGGGUCUGAGAGGAUGAUCCGCCACACUGGGACUGAGACACGGCCCAGACUCCUACGGGAGGCAGCAGUGGGGAAUAUUGGACAAUGGGCGAAAGCCUGAUCCAGCCAUGCCGCGUGUGUGAAGAAGGCCUUUUGGUUGUAAAGCACUUUAAGCGAGGAGGAGGAGCUUCAGGUUAAUACCCUGGAUGCUUGGACGUUACUCGCAGAAUAAGCACCGGCUAACUCUGUGCCAGCCGCCGCCGUAAUAC